rnacentral:tRNA from 1 species
GCCAGUGUGGCAUAGUGGUUUGAAUGUUGGACUAAAACUCUGGAGACCAGGGUUUGAUUCCCAACAUGGUCA